rnacentral:rRNA from 1 species
UACGGGGGGGCGAAGCGUUGUUCGGAAUUACUGGGCGUAAAGGGUUCGUAGGUGGCCAACUAAGUCAGACGUGAAAUCCCUCAGCUUAACUGGGGAACUGCGUCUGAUACUGGUCGGCUUGAGUGCAGGAGAGGAACGCGGAAUUCCAGGUGUAGCGGUGAAAUGCGUAGAUAUCUGGAGGAACACCGGUGGCGAAGGCGGCGUUCUGGACUGCAACUGACACUGAGGAACGAAAGCCAGGGGAGCAAACGGG